UACGAAGGGGGCUAGCGUUGUUCGGAAUCACUGGGCGUAAAGCGCACGCAGGCGGAUCGUUAAGUCAGGGGUGAAAUGCCGAGGCUCAACCUCGGAACUGCCUUUGAUACUGGCGAUCUUAGAGUCCGGGAGAGGUGAGUGGAACUGCGAGUGUAGAGGUGAAAUUCGUAGAUAUUCGCAAGAACACCAGUGGCGAAGGCGGCUCACUGGCCCGUAACUGACGCUGAGGCACGAAAGCGUGGGGAGCAAACAGG
rnacentral:rRNA from 1 species